rnacentral:rRNA from 1 species
UACGGGGGGGGCAAGCGUUGUUCGGAAUUACUGGGCGUAAAGGGCUCGUAGGCGGCCAACUAAGUCAGACGUGAAAUCCCUCGGCUUAACCGGGGAACUGCGUCUGAUACUGGAUGGCUUGAGUUUGGGAGAGGGAUGCGGAAUUCCAGGUGUAGCGGUGAAAUGCGUAGAUAUCUGGAGGAACACCAGUGGCGAAAGCGCGUGACUGGGCCACAACUGACGCUGAGGAACGAAAGCCAGGGUAGCGAAAGGG